rnacentral:rRNA from 1 species
AUUGAACGCUGGCGGCAUGCCUUACACAUGCAAGUCGAACGGCAGCACGGGGGCAACCCUGGUGGCGAGUGGCGAACGGGUGAGUAAUACAUCGGAACGUGUCCUGUAGUGGGGGAUAGCCCGGCGAAAGCCGGAUUAAUACCGCAUACGCUCUACGGAGGAAAGGGGGGGAUCUUAGGACCUCCCGCUACAGGGGCGGCCGAUGGCAGAUUAGCUAGUUGGUGGGGUAAAGGCCUACCCUGGCGACGAUCUGUAGCUGGUCUGAGAGGACGACCAGCCACUCUGGGACUGAAAC